GACGAACGCUGGCGGCGUGCUUAACACAUGCAAGUCGAACGGAAAGGCCUUUUCGGAGGUACUCGAGUGGCGAACGGGUGAGUAACACGUGGGUGAUCUGCCCUGCACUCUGGGAUAAGCCUGGGAAACUGGUCUAAUACCGGAUAGGACCGCACUUUAGUGUGUGUGGUGGAAAGUUUUUUCGGUGUAGGAUGAGCCCGCGGCCUAUCAGCUUGUUGGUGGGGUAAUGGCCUACCAAGGCGGCGACGGGUAGCCGGACUGAGAGGUUGGUCGGCCACAUUGGGACUGAGAUACGGCCCAGACUCCUACGGGAGGCAGCAGUGGGGAAUAUUGCACAAUGGGCGCAAGCCUGAUGCAGCGACGCCGCGUGGGGGAUGACGGCCUUCGGGUUGUAAACUCCUUUCGCCAGGGACGAAGCGUUUUGUGACGGUACCUGGAGAAGAAGCACCGGCUAACUACGU
rnacentral:rRNA from 1 species